ACAGGCCAAGCUUUCGAGGUUGAGUGUCCCGUGGCUACUAAGUGCUGGAGGCAGGAAGGAUACUCUGAAUAAUGACACUGUUACCCCAAGCCCGGACCUGACAGCAGAAGGGCUGGGAAUCUCAGGCAGCCUGGCCUUUGUGGUUCUCUCUUUCCUGGCUCUGGCUCUUGCAGUCCAUCUCCUGCUGCAGAUAGGAAAACGAGUCCAGCUGGCCAGAUUAAAGGCUUUGAUUUCCCGCUAGAACUACACAACACCUCAUAAACACACUGUGAAGGAAGACAAGUCUAGAAGCCUUUGCAAUCAGUGGUCCUGCUGCUGGACUAGAGAAAUGCAUUUGGGUGCUGAGGACUGCUGUAUAGGCCACUCUGAUUAUCUGCAGUGCCCCACAACUAUGCCAGGGGGAACUGGCCCAAGAUGACAUCCCUUGGGUCAGUGCCACCUGCACUGUGUAGGCAAUUACUUAAAGAACCUCUCCAGCCUUUCCAGUGUCCUGAGGACACAGCUGCUCCAUCUGCAGCCCUAGAGACACAACACUCAGCAACAAAAUGCUGCUUUACUGUCAGAGGCAGCAGAGUUUGCUCCAGGCUCCUGGGAGCAGCUCUGAACAUUGCGGUGACUCAGGAGC